rnacentral:rRNA from 1 species
GCCUACACGAAGCUGGAAUCGCUAGUAAUCGCGGAUCAGCACGCCGCGGUGAAUACGUUCCCGGGCCUUGUACACACCGCCCGUCACACCAUGAGAGUCUGUAACACCCAAAGCCGGUGGGAUAACCUUUAUAGGAGUCAGCCGUCUAAGGUAGGACAGAUGAUUAGGGUGAAGUCGUAACAAGGUAAC